rnacentral:rRNA from 1 species
GAUUAACGCUGGCGGCGUGCAUAACACAUGCAAGUCGAACGAUGAAACUUAAAUGAUUUCUUCGGAAUGAACUUAAGUGGAUUAGUGGCGGACGGGUGAGUAACGCGUGAGUAACCUGCCUUACACAAGGGGAUAGCCGUUGGAAACGACGAAUAAUACCCUAUGAAACUAUCACUUCGCAUGAAGCGAUAGUCAAAGUGUUAGCGGUGUAAGAUGGACUUGCGUCUGAUUAGCUAGUUGGUGAGAAAAAAGCCCACCAAGGCAACGAUCAGUAGCCGGCUUGAGAGCACGUCCGGCCACAUUGGGACUGAGACACGGCCCAGACUCCUACGGGAGGCAGCAGUGGGGAAUUUUGCACAAUGGGGGAAACCCUGAUGCAGCGACGCCGCGUGAUUUAGAAGUCCUUCGGGUUGUAAAAAUCUUUUGUAUAGGAAGAAAAUGACAGUACUAUACGAAUAAGGUCCGGCUAAUUACGUG